CGUGUUGCUUGAUAGUGCAGCCCUAAGAAGGUGGUAAACUCCAUCUAAGGCUAAAUAUAACCACGAGACCGAUAGCGAACAAGUACCGGUAGGGAAAGUUGAAAAGAACUUUGAAGAGAGAGUUCAAGAGUACGUGAAACCGCUCAGGGGUAAACGGAAAAGACCUGAAUAUCCGAAAGGGGAGAUUCACGUCUUGCCAUAUAUUCUCCUGUUAAGUGCAUUGAGAUGGUCAUUUGUCCCGCCCAGUGUAAACUGUGGUGGUGGGUUUGGUCGCUCGCAUUUAAAAUGUAAGAAUAAUGGUGGACCGCAUUUCUCCCUUAGUAAGACGUUGCGACCUGUUAAAUAAUACUCUAAGUAUAAGUUAAAGUGCCUGUUUAAGGUUAUACUUUUAUGGUAUGCUUUAUUCAGCUUUAACUAAUAAUACUGGGUAUUUAUAUAUUUAACAGUAACAAAUGACGGUGCUGAGCCACUUGCUUAAGAUUGCUGAAUUUAUUUAGUAAUUUUGUUGUAAGUGUUUAUUGUCCGUUCACAAGUGGGGUGUUAUAUAGUAUAGUCGUACUUUUAGUGAGUCUAUGCUAUAUCUCCUACUGUUGGUGAAGCUGUGACUCUAACUGGCUUAAAACACCUGUCGGCAGCGAUCCAGGUUCAGGCUCUUAUCCGGUCCGU
rnacentral:rRNA from 1 species